AACGAACGCUGGCGGCAUGCCUAACACAUGCAAGUCGAACGAGACCUUCGGGUCUAGUGGCGCACGGGUGCGUAACGCGUGGGAACCUGCCCUUAGGUUCGGAAUAACUCCCCGAAAGGGGUGCUAAUACCGGAUAAUGUCUUCGGACCAAAGAUUUAUCGCCUUUGGAUGGGCCCGCGUUGGAUUAGCGAGUUGGUAGGGUAAAAGCCUACCAAGGCGACGAUCCAUAGCUGGUCUGAGAGGAUGACCAGCCACACUGGGACUGAGACACGGCCCAGACUCGUACGGGAGGGAGCAGUGGGGAAUAUUGGACAAGGGGCGAAAGCCUGAUCCAGCAAUGCCGCGUGAGUGAUGAAGGCCUUAGGGUUGUAAAGCUGUUUUAGCCGGGAUGAUAAUGACAGUACCGGGAGAAUAAGCGCCGGCUAACUCCGUG
rnacentral:rRNA from 1 species